GACGAACGCUGGCGGCGUGCUUAACACAUGCAAGUCGAACGGAAAGGCCCUGCUUUUGUGGGGUGCUCGAGUGGCGAACGGGUGAGUAACACGUGAGUAACCUGCCCUUGACUUUGGGAUAACUUCAGGAAACUGGGGCUAAUACCGGAUAGGAGCUCCUGCUGCAUGGUGGGGGUUGGAAAGUUUCGGCGGUUGGGGAUGGACUCGCGGCUUAUCAGCUUGUUGGUGGGGUAGUGGCUUACCAAGGCUUUGACGGGUAGCCGGCCUGAGAGGGUGACCGGCCACAUUGGGACUGAGAUACGGCCCAGACUCCUACGGGAGGCAACGGUGGGGAAUAUUGCACAGUGGGCGGAAGCCUGGUGCAGCAACGCCGCGUGCGGGAUGACGGCCUUCGGGUUGUAAACCGCUUUCGCUUGUGACGAAGCGUGAGUGACGGUAAUGGGUAAAGAAGCACCGGCUAACUACGUG
rnacentral:rRNA from 1 species